rnacentral:rRNA from 1 species
AGCGAACGCUGGCGGCAGGCCUAACACAUGCAAGUCGAACGAACUCUUCGGAGUUAGUGGCGGACGGGUGAGUAACACGUGGGAACGUGCCCUUUGGUACGGAAUAACUCAGGGAAACUUGAGCUAAUACCGUAUGUGCCCUUCGGGGGAAAGAUUUAUCGCCAUUGGAGCGGCCCGCCUCUGAUUAGCUAGUUGGUGAGGUAACGGCUUACCAAGGCGACGAACAGUAGCUGGUCUGAGAGGAUGACCAGCCACAUUGGGACUGAGACACGGCCCAAACUCCUACGGGAGGCAGCAGUGGGGAAUCUUGCGCAAUGGGCGAAAGCCUGACGCAGCCAUGCCGCGUGGAUGAUGAAGGUCUUAGGAUUGUAAAAUCCUUUCACCGGUGAAGAUAAUGACUGUAGCCGGAGAAGAAGCCCCGGCUAACUUCGUGCCAGCAGCCGCCGCAGUAA